rnacentral:rRNA from 1 species
ACUCCUACGGGAGGCAGCAGUGGGAAGUAUUGCACAAUGGGCGCAAGCCUGAUGGAGCAACACCGCGUGAGUGAAGAAGGGUUUCGGCUCGUAAAGCUCUGUUGUUAAAGAAGAACACGUAUGAGAGUAACUGUUCAUACGUUGACGGUAUUUAACCAGAAAGUCACGGCUAACUACGUGCCAGCAGCCGCGGUAAUACGUAGGUGGCAAGCGUUAUCCGGAUUUAUUGGGCGUAAAGAGAGUGCAGGCGGUUUUCUAAGUCUGAUGUGAAAGCCUUCGGCUUAACCGGAGAAGUGCAUCGGAAACUGGAUAACUUGAGUGCAGAAGAGGGUAGUGGAACUCCAUGUGUAGCGGUGGAAUGCGUAGAUAUAUGGAAGAACACCAGUGGCGAAGGCGGCUACCUGGUCUGCAACUGACGCUGAGACUCGAAAGCAUGGGUAGCGAACAGGAUUAGAUACCCUGGUAGGAUAGCG